rnacentral:rRNA from 1 species
UUCCGGUUGAUCCCGCCGGACCUGACUGCUAUCGGAUUGAUACUAAGCCAUGCGAGUCAUUGUAGCAAUACAAGGCAGACGGCUCAGUAAACGCGUAGUCAACCUACCCUAUGGACGGGAACAACCUCGGGAAACUGAGAAUAAUGCCCGAUAGAACACUAUACCUGGAAUGGUUUGUGUUCCAAAUGAUUUAUCGCCGUAGGAUGGGACUGCGGCCUAUCAGUUUGUUGGUGAGGUAAUGGCCCACCAAGACUAUUACAGGUACGGGCUCUGAGAGGAGUGGCCCGGAGAUGGGUACUGAGACACGGACCCAGGCCCUAUGGGGCGCAGCAGGCGAGAAAACUUUGCAAUGUGCGAAAGCACGACAAGGUUAAUCCGAGUGGUUUCUGCUAAAGGAACCUUUUGUCGGUCCUAGAAACACCGAUGAAUAAGGGGUGGGCAAGUUCUGGUGUCAGCCGCCGCGGUAAAACCAGCACCUCAAGUGGUCAGGAUGAUUAUUGGGCCUAAAGCAUCCGUAGCCCGCUUUGUAAGUUUUCGGUUAAAUCCAUGCGCUUAACGUAUGGGCUGCCGGGAAUACUGCAAAGCUAGGGAGUGGGAGAGGUAGACGGUACUCGGUAGGAAGGGGUAAAAUCCUUUGAUCUAUUGAUGACCACCUGUGGCGAAGGCGGUCUACCAGAACACGUCCGACGGUGAGGGAUGAAAGCUGGGGGAGCAAACCGGAUUAGAUACCCGGGUAGUCCCAGCUGUAAACUAUGCAAACUCAGUGAUGCAUCGGCUUGAUGCCAAUGCAGUGCUGCAGGGAAGCCGUUAAGUUUGCCGCCUGGGAAGUACGUACGCAAGUAUGAAACUUAAAGGAAUUGGCGGGGGAGCACCACAAGGGGUGAAGCCUGCGGUUCAAUUGGAUUCAACGCCGGA